UGCUGCAUGGCUGUCGUCAGCUCGUGUCGUGAGAUUGUUGGGUUAAGUCCCGCAACGAGCGCAACCCUUGCUUUAGUUGCCAUCAUUCAGUUGGGCACUCUAAAGAGACUGCCGGUGUCAAACCGGAGGAAGGUGGGGAUGACGUCAAGUCCUCAUGGCCUUUAUGACCAGGGCUACACACGUACUACAAUGGCCGGUACAAAGGGCAGCCACUUAGCGAUAAGGGAGCCAAUCCCGUAAAGCCGGUCUCAGUCCGGAUUGGAGUCUGCAACUCGACUCCAUGAAGUUGGAAUCGCUAGUAAUCGCAGAUCAGCACGCUGCGGUGAAUACGUUCCCGGGCCGUU
rnacentral:rRNA from 1 species